rnacentral:rRNA from 1 species
AUGGCUCAUUAUAUAAGUUAUCGUUUAUUUGAUAGCACCUUCUUACUCGGAUACCUGUGGUAAUUCUAGAGCUAAUACGUGCUGAAAUGCUCGACUUCGGAAGAGCUGUAUUUAUUAGAUUAAAAACCAAUGCCCUUCGGGGCUUUCUGGUGAUUCAUGAUAACUUCUCGAAUCGCAUGGCCUUGCGCCGGCGAUGGUUCAUUCAAAUUUCUUCCCUAUCAACUUUCGAUGCGAGGGUCUUGUCCUCGCAUGGUUUCAACGGGUGACGGAGGGUUAGGGCUCGACCCCGGAGAAGGAGCCUGAGAAACGGCUACUACAUCCAAGGAAGGCAGCAGGCGCGCAAAUUACCCAAUCCCGACACGGGGAGGUAGUGACAAUAAAUACUGAUACAGGGCUCUUUUGGGUCUUGUAAUCGGAAUGAGUACUAUUUAAAUCCCAUAACGAGGAACAAUUGGAGGGCAAGUCUGGUGCCAGCAGCCGCGGUAAUUCCAGCUCCAAUAGCGUAUAUUAAAGUUGUUGUGGUUAAAAAGCUCGUAGUUGAACCUUGGGCCUGGCUUGUCGGUCCCCCUCACCGGGUGCACCGAUCCAGCCGGGUCUUUCCCGCUGUGGAACCCCAUGGCCUUCGUUGGUCGUGGCGGGGAAACAGGACUUUUACUUUGAAAAAAUUAGAGUGCUCCAGGCAGGCUUAUGCUCGAAUACAUUAGCAUGGAAUAAUAAAAUAGGACGCGUGGUUCUAUUUUGUUGGUUUUUAGAACCGCCGUAAUGAUUAAUAGGGACAGUCGGGGGCAUCUGUAUUCAAUUGUCAGAGGUGAAAUUCUUGGAUCUAUUGAAGACAAACUACUGCGAAAGCAUUUGCCAAGGAUGUUUUCAUUGAUAAGGAACGAAAGUUAGGGGAUCGAAGACGAUCAGAUACCGUCGUAGUCUUAACUAUAAACUAUGCCGACUAGGGAUCGGACGAUGUUAUUUUUUGACUCGUUCGGCACCUUUCGAGAAAUCAAAGUGCU